AAAUACUUCAACACAGUAUUUUGGUCACUGCACUGGCCUUUAGAAGCAUCAGACAUUGUGGAAUGUCAGAAGUAACUUCCUUGACUCUGAAGGAUGGUGACUUUUGGGACUAGAAGAACCAAAGGAGCUGAAUAGGCAGACCAACUUGUCUGUGGCAUCCAGCCGGCAAGUGUGUGUACCUCAUGGCACCCUGUCACGAAGAGUCAUGCCAUCUUACUGCUACCUUCUUUGUUGUGGAAGCUGAGGGAACUCACCAAAACUUCCAUUUACAGCAGCCUCACCAGAAACUCUGGUUCUUAGGAAUCCUCAUUUCCUGUGUUACUGCAGUGGUCUCCUGUCUAGCCCUCUGACUGCUUACAGGUCUGAUUAAAUUCAAUAAACAAGUAGUAAGUACCUAUUUUCCA
rnacentral:lncRNA from 1 species